rnacentral:lncRNA from 1 species
AUAAAUCUCAUUUAUAUAAUUCAUUCAAUAGUGACAAGAUCCAUACAUCCAAAAUUUAAUUCAAGUACUUGAAGUUCCAAACGAAAGAAACUAAUGUAGUUCAAUCAUUCAAAAACUAAAACAUAAAUAUUAGUAGAGUGGUUAAACAUAACAUUACGUCAAAAUAAGUUAAAAAAAUAUCUAAAUAUCCCUAGUAUGUGAUGUUGCUUAAUAAUCCUUAAUUAGCAUUAACUAGACUCGGAAACGCCUACCAUCGCUUGACUCUUCUUAUUCGGUUACCUGAAAAAACAUAAAUAUAUAUUAGCAUACUUAAAAAAUAAAACUGAGAUGUACAAAUUGACUUAGUUCAUUGCAUAAUUCCACAAGAUAAUGGUAUUUUCAAACAUAACAUAAUGCAUCUCUUUUCUAAGAAGAUCAAAUAAAUGAUAAAUGAACUCAUUAACAUAUGCCAAAUUAAACUGCACAUGUAAUCUGGAAUGAUUCGAUACACACCUAUAAGUCUAACACAUUAAGUUGACCAAUGUUUUCAUGAUCAGAAUAACCAUCUUCAAUCCUCAAGUUCAAACAAAACAACAAUGCCAAUAUUCUAAUGAAUUUGAGUUUUAUCAAACAAUUAUAUAUGACAUAUAAUGACAUCUUAAAUUGAACAAUGAGGGUAAAUUGUGCUAACGUGAGCAUAAUUUCUAGGGAAUAAUCUAAGAAAAACAAAUCCAAAUAACUACAAUAAUACAAGAAAAUGGUACCUGAAUUAUAAUUAAUGAACUCAAUCUUAAUGCCUUUAAUUACUCCAUUACUCAAUUCAAUUUGCUGCAACCAUCAACAUCAAUAAACCAAAUUCAAAACUACAAUAUAAAGAGUCCAAUGAAACCUGCAUAAACCAGUCCCAAAAUAUUAGAACAUAAAACCAUUUGAAAUUAGAUUUGA